UACGGAGGGGACUAGCGUUGUUCGGAUUCAUUGGGCGUAAAGGGUGUGUAGGUGGCGCUGUAAGUCGGGUGUGAAAUCUCGGGGCUUAACUCCGAAACUGCAUUCGAUACUGCGGUGCUUGAGGACUGGAGAGGAGACUGGAAUUCAUGGUGUAGCAGUGAAAUGCGUAGAGAUCAUGAGGAAGACCAGUGGCGAAGGCGGGUCUCUGGACAGUUCCUGACACUGAGACACGAAGGCCAGGGGAGCAAACGGG
rnacentral:rRNA from 1 species